CAGUAGCCGCGGGAAUACGUAGGGUGCGAGCGUUAAUCGGAAUUACUGGGCGUAAAGCGUGCGCAGGCGGUUGUGUAAGACAGGUGUGAAAUCCCCGGGCUUAACCUGGGAACUGCGCUUGUGACUGCACAGCUAGAGUAUGGCAGAGGGGGGUGGAAUUCCACGUGUAGCAGUGAAAUGCGUAGAGAUGUGGAGGAACACCGAUAGCGAAGGCAGCCCCCUGGGCCAAUACUGACGCUCAUGCACGAAAGCGUGGGGAGCAAACAGGAUUAGAUACCCCCGUAGUCCCUGUCUCUUAUAC
rnacentral:rRNA from 1 species